CAUGCAAGUCGAGCGAGAAGCUAACUUCGGUUAGUGGACAGCGGCGCACGGGUGAGUAACGCGUGGGAAUUUACCUUUCGGCGGGGGACAACAGUUGGAAACGACUGCUAAUACCGCAUACGCCCUACGGGGGAAAGAUUUAUCACCGAAAGAUAGGCCCGCGUUAGAUUAGGUAGUUGGUAGGGUCAAAGCCUACCAAGCCGACGAUCUAUAGCUGGUUUGAGAGAACGAUCAGCCACACUGGAACUGAGACACGGUCCAGACUCCUACGGGAGGCAGCAGUGGGGAAUCUUGCACAAUGGGCGAAAGCCUGAUGCAGCCAUGCCGCGUGAGUGCUAAGGCCUUCGGGUUGUAAAACUCUUUUAGAUGUGAAGAUGAUGACGGUAACAUCAGAAAAAGCACCGGCUAACUUCGUGCCAGCAGCCGCGGUAAUACGAAGGGUGCUAGCGUUGUUCGGAAUUACUGGGCGUAAAGAGCGUGUAGGCGGCUUAGCAAGUUAGAGGUGAAAUCCCAGGGCUCAACCCUGGAACUGCCUUUGAUACUGCUAAGCUUGAGAUCGUGAGGGGAUAGCGGAAUACCCAGUGUAGAGGUGAAAUUCGU
rnacentral:rRNA from 1 species